rnacentral:rRNA from 1 species
GAUGAACGCUGGCGGCGUGCCUAAUACAUGCAAGUAGAACGCUGAAGGAGGAGCUUGCUCUUCUGGAUGAGUUGCGAACGGGUGAGUAACGCGUAGGUAACCUGCCUGGUAGCGGGGGAUAACUAUUGGAAACGAUAGCUAAUACCGCAUGACAACAGUUAUUGCAUGAUAACUGUUUAAAAGGGGCAACUGCUCCACUACCAGAUGGACCUGCGUUGUAUUAGCUAGUUGGUGAGGUAACGGCUCACCAAGGCGACGAUACAUAGCCGACCUGAGAGGGUGAUCGGCCACACUGGGACUGAGACACGGCCCAGACUCCUACGGGAGGCAGCAGUAGGGAAUCUUCGGCAAUGGACGGAAGUCUGAUCGAGCAACGCCGCGUGAGUGAAGAAGGUUUUCGGAUCGUAAAGCUCUGUUGUAAGAGAAGAACGAGUGUGAGAGUGGAAAGUUCACACUGUGACGGUAUCUUACCAGAAAGGGACGGCUAACUACGUG